UUAUAAGCAUGGAAAUCCCCUGAGUGAAACAACGAAUUGCUGUGUGUAGUCUUUGCCCAUCUCCCACGAUGGGCUUUUUUUUAA
rnacentral:antisense_RNA from 1 species